CAUUUAGGGGCCUUAGCUGGUGAUCCGGGUUGUUUCCUUCUCGACGAUGAAGCUUAUCCCCCAUCGUCUCACUGGCCGACCUUGACCCCUGUUAUUUUUGGGUCAUAUCUAGUAUUCAAAGUUUGCCUCGAUUUGAGAUCGGAAGAGUGU